rnacentral:rRNA from 1 species
GAUUCUGGCUCAGGAUGAACGCUGGCGGCGUGCCUAACACAUGCAAGUCGAACGGGGUUAAGUGAUAUUUCGGAUGGACCUUAACUAGUGGCGGACGGGUGAGUAACGCGUGGAUAACCUGCCUCACACAGGGGGAUAGCAGCUGGAAACGGCUGGUAAUACCGCAUAAGACCACGACCCGCAUGGGGUUGUAGUAAAAGAUUUAUCGGUGUGAGAUGGAUCCGCGUCUGAUUAGCCAGUUGGCGGGGUAACGGCCCACCAAAGCGACGAUCAGUAGCCGGCCUGAGAGGGUGAACGGCCACAUUGGGACUGAGACACGGCCCAGACUCCUACGGGAGGCAGCAGUGGGGAAUAUUGCACAAUGGGCGCAAGCCUGAUGCAGCAACGCCGCCGUGAGUGAAGAAGUAUUUCGGUAUGUAAAGCUCUAUCAGCAGGGAAGAAAGGCUCUUCGGAGAGAUGACGGUACCUGACUAAGAAGCCCCGGCUAACUACGUGCCAGCCGCGGC